rnacentral:antisense_RNA from 1 species
CGUUUUGGUGGCUGUGCGCAGGGCACCUUCGGGUGCGCCGGUUUCUUAGCUCGCCGGUCGACUAACCUGCGUACAGCCGCCACCUUU